AUCUUUUUUAUUAAUAAGAUCUUUUAAAAAAAAUUAUGCUGUUAUCCCUAAGGUAAUUGAUUUUUUAAUUUAAAGUAUAAGAAUAUUUAAUCAAUAAUUAUUGUUUUUAAAAAAAAAAUUUAAUUAAUUUUUAAAUUACCCCAAUUAAAUUUAUUAAAAAUAUUUAUUUUAAAUAAAUUUAAUAAAAUUAUUUUAAUAAAUAAAAUUCUAUAGGGUCUUGUCGUCUUUUAUUUUUAUUUAAGUUUUUUAACUUAAAUAAAAAUUUAAAUUUAAAUUUAAUUGAUAUAGUUUAUAUUUCAAUUAAUCGUUCAUUCUAGUUUUUAAUUAAAAAACAAAUUAUUAUGCUACCUUUGUACAAUAAAAAUUUUGCAGCCAUUU
rnacentral:rRNA from 1 species